GGGCCUGUAGCUCAGGUGGUUUAGAGCGCACGCCUGAUAAGCGUGAGGUCGGAGGUUCAAGUCCUCCCAGGCCCACCA
rnacentral:tRNA from 1 species